UACGAAGGGGGGCUAGCGUUGCUCGGAAUCACUGGGGCGUAAAGCGCACGUAGGCCGUUUUGCUAAGUCAGGGGUGAAAUCCUGGAGCUCAACUCCAGAACUGCCUUUGAUACUGGCGACUCGAGUCCGGGAGAGGUGAGUGGGAACUGCGAGUGUAGAGGUGAAAUUCGUAGAUAUCGAGGAAGAACACCGAUGGCGAAGGCAGUGGGCUGGGCCGG
rnacentral:rRNA from 1 species